rnacentral:lncRNA from 1 species
GACCACUACAUGGAACGACGGCCCCACUCACCUGUCCAGCAUCUUUGUGCUGGCCCUCUCCAGCUUUGCCAAGAUCUGGGGGAGCUGGGUGUCGUCGUCACAGGCCGCACCCCAGCCAAGUACUCGGGCCAGGUCAUUCCCUGUCCCCAGGGGCAGCACUCCCAGCUGACACUAAUAGAAAACAGUGGGGAAGACAUGCACUCAAACAUGGGAGAACAAGUCGCCACCCUGCUGCCCACUCGUGGCCUGCAUCGACAGCCUUACUAAAUGAGUACGAGAGAGACCUGUCCAGAAGUGUGUGGCCUGCACUUCCCGGCAGAGCCCACUGGAGGGGACAGAUGUCUUUGUGAUGCAGCAGCAGAUGCCAGGGUCACGGGCCCCUCAUCUGCAGAAGCCCACCUCUCAGGUGUUCCCUACCCUGACGACCUACCCUCCCAGACCUCCGGGGCCUAGGUGUCCAAAGCCCUUCCUUUCCUCUUGCCUGUUAGGCACACACAUGAAGGACAGUCUGUAACGCCCCACCUGUCUCGUCCACUCCAGCAUCCAACUGACCAAGGCUAAAUUCACCUUCCAGAAUCAUUAGUAUCACUCCAUGCCUCUUCACACAGCUCCGAUGGCUUUUAAAGUCUUGUCACAAUGAACAGGCCAGGACCACCCACCAAGCAGAUGCCCAGGCCCAAUAUGCAUCCUCCACCUGCCACUGCCCAGAGCCUCACCCUGUACCUGGCAUUCCCACCCCAGAUCCUCCCCCCAUCCCUGCAUGCCAGGUCUGUGCUCAGGGUCCCCGAGAUGGGGCUGCCCGAGCUCUCCAGCAGUCAAUGCUGAUGACAGUGACCAGCCCAAGCACAGCUGUGGGGGUCACAGGUCCUGAGGCUGGGAGCAUGCCUUGCCCUGCCUACAGCACUGCACAGCCCUGUGCCCUCCCCUGCCAACCUAAGGGGACAGCAGCAUGACAGGGGCAGCACAGGAGGCAGGAGCAAACACUCAAGGGCACACAGACAGGAGGGGCUGGGGCUCAGCAGAGGCUUCCAGGAGCUCAUGGAAAAAGAAGCAGGCAACGCACCAAAGGUUUGGGGUGUUCCAGGUGCCAAGGUGCCACAGAGAGAAGUGGCCAGUCAGAGCUCAGGACACAGGAGGGCUAUGAGGGAAGAGGAAGCAGACAAGCAGAAGGGCCAGAUUGAGGCUCUGGUGAGCUCCGUGGUCAGGUUGGACCUGCCCAUUGUGGGGCUGAAGAGGGGCACCCAGGUGCACGGUGGACAGAUGGGGCUGUGAAUAGGCAGCGGCUCAGCAAUACACAGAUGGCCUGGACAGGGAGGAGGCAGCAGAAUGGCACCCUAAAUUGCACACAGGGAAGGAGGAUGACAUGGAAUCAAGAGCAACUGAGACUUCCACUCAAGACACCUGGAUGGACCAUGGCUUCAGACUGCACAGAAAGGCCUGAGGGCGGGGGACAACGUGGGGCUGGCGAUCUGCAGCACUGAGCCAGGAGGCCCAGGAAAUCCCAGGGGAGACGUGCUGGCAAAGCCCCUGCAUGGCACUGAGGCUUCCUCUGAAGAAGCGUGUGAAGGAGGGGGCCCAGGAGGCUCUGCCAGCAGGACAUUAAAGGGAGCCAGGAGAGGAAAUGCUACCAGGCAAGGGGGGGUCCAGGGAAGCCAGGGGAGGGGAGGGAGUGGCUGGAGCACUGAGGGACUCAUAGAAAUUGGGGGAAAAAAAUGCUCACGAAAGUCAUUCGGGUGAAUGGAUGAAAUGAAUCCCUAGAUUUUACUGUGUUCUCAACUAGUGAACUCUGAAAUGGACAGUAAUCCACCAAACCAACAAAACUAUGUGGACUGCUCUGGCCCACCACUAGUAGGUGCUGCUUCCCUUUCCUGAGCUCUGGCCUGGCCUGGCUGGCCUGGCAGGGGUGGGUCCUGGCGUUACAUACCUAUGACACAGCCAGCCACAAGCAGGAUGCUAGCUCACUGAAAAUAUGCUCCAGGGACAGAGAAGUUAAGCUGGUUUUUUUUAAAAGGACCCUAACAAUGGGCUGGGGUUGUAGUUCAGUAGUAGAGAGCCUUCUCGGUGUGUAUGGGGCAGAAGGGUGGGGGCAUAACCAACCCAGAGUUAAGACACCUCCAAUCAAUCAUCUGGUAAUCCGACAAUCUUGGAUCAGGGUCAGGUGUCUCAACAGGACAAAUGUCAAAAACCAUGAAGGAAAGGAUGACAAAUGACAAACUGGGACACAAAAUCUGCGAUGACAGACAAGUUAAUAUGACAAUCAGAUAUCAAUUUUUUUUUUUUUUUGGUACCGGAGAUCGAACUCGGGUCCUUGCGCUUACGCAGCAGGCAGCGAAACCACUGAGCUAAAUCCCCGGCCCCAGAUAUCAAUUUUUUUAAAUAAACUGAAUUUUACACAAGAAAAUGAGAAAAACGUGAAGACAACACAUUUAAAACUUUGUUGUCAAAUGAGACAAUGCCUGACUUAACCAUAAUUAAAGAAAUAAGACUUUUUAUUUGCUUAGUUGGUCAGAACUGAAAUGCGAGCCCCAGUCGCAGAGGGCAUGUGGGCUGCACAGCCCUGACAGAGGGAAUCAGGGUCCUGGAGGCCCCUGGAAAAACCAAGGUGUCCACCUGAGCACCACUCGCAGGCGGUGAGCAGCCCCUGCCCAGUCCGUCACUGGGACACCCACACGGAGAGGCUGUGGUGCGGCACAAGGCACCGUGACAUCUACUGAGGACAGAGUGCAGGGAGGGGCAAGCAGGGGUAGCGAGAGUCUGCUUCAAACCACGUCAUGCACUAUGCAUCUGGACACAAGUCUGAGACAGCUACAGAGUUGUCACAGUGACUAAUCACCGGGGGGGGGGGAGCUGGGAGUAAAUACCCAAUGAAUAUGCAAUCUGGAAAAUCUAUUUUUAUCUUAAUACAAAAACUAGAUCUAAUGAGCCACACUGAAACCUGAGAAGCUGAAGCACCUUCCUUCCCCUCCCCCAGGCCAGAGGUGCCACGCAAGAGCGGGGUCACACCACUGCUUGGUGAAGAACCAGGCAGGGAGGACAGAAGCCCCCAGACCUGCAGGCCCCUGGCCCCUGAAGUAGUUCCCUUUACCCAGUCGAACUUCCCGUGCGUCAGCCACAUAGGACCCAGGGCUCCUGGGAUGCCUUGGGGCUCCUGUCUUGCUCCCCCUCCUGCCCUCCGGCCACAAACUGCACAACCUCCAACCCUUUUACUGGCCCAGCCAGGGGCUGGAGCCCUGAACCACACGGGCAGAGACUGCUCCACUCUCUGCCCUGGCCCCUCCACCCAGGCUGGGCUCCCCCACCAGGCACCUGCUUGUGAAGGUUGAGGCUGUCGAUUUCUGAGAGGACCCAGCCAACACUACCAUCCCCGCCACAAACCAGAAUCCGGAAGGUAUCAAACUUCUGGAAUAACCGCAAGCUGCAGAGAAAAGAGAGUCAGUGAAGACAAUUUGCAGUCCUGGGGAGCCACUGCUCCUGUGCUGACUCCCCCUGGGUCAGACCUCCAGCCCUCCAGCCAGGGCCAGGUUCCACCCCACAGAAGAGGCUGGAGACACAACACCCUGAGCAGCACCAGACUCCACACAGCAUCCAUGGGUGCCAUGCCCCUGCCACCUAUAACUGUCCCCUGUUGUGCCCCUGCGCUGCCUUGCGUUGUGAGCCUUGGCACUCAACCGCAGGCCCGGCAGUCAGGUCUCUGCCCAGCACUCUGUAUGUCCUCUGCCUGUCCCCUCUACAGCAAUUACACCACAGGUGAGGUGACCCAGACCCACUCCCCUUGUAAGUCUUUCUCUGUCUGCUUCCUGGGCUCCUGCUGAUCACUUGCCCCCCUAUGCAGGGGGCUGACCUGGGGCACCCCAGCUGUUUCCCACUCAUUCCUCAACCUUCUCCUGCCUCAGCAAUAGCACCAGUGCUGACGACCCUGAAUCCACAGCCCCACACACCUGCACCUGGUCACCAGGACUCCCACCUAGGGUCCCAUGGUGUCUCCAGCAGGACAUGUCCCUCCUCGAAGACAAGCCCAGCUUGCCGGCCAGCCCCCUUCACGCUGUCCCCUCUGCCCUCACUGUGCCUAGCCAGGCUCGGCUGGCCUGAGUCCCUUCAAGCAGCUCACCUGAGGGUGCUCACCUGAGGGUGCCCACCUCAUCUCCAGGCAAGAGUCAAACUUCUCAGUGAGCACUUCAGGCCUCCCUUGCCAGCUGCUGCCUGUGUUCACCAGGCCUGGCCCAGCACCUCACCCAUGCAUGUGGGUGGAAAUGGGCAGGGAGCACAGCAUGCUCUCCUGCUGUCUCUUCACAUACUUUUCUUUUUUCUUCUGCAGUACUGGGGAUUGAACCCAGGACCUCUGCACUGAGCUACAUCCUCAUCCCUUUAUUUUUUAUUUUGAGACGGGGUCUCACUAAGUCGCCAAGUCCCUCAAACUUGCAGUCUUCCUGCCUCAGCCUCCCAGAGGGCUGGAAUUACAGGCAUGUGCUGCCACACCCAGGUGCAUCACACACAUCCUGAACUCGACUACAAAUUGUGGAGUUCUAUGUACAUGCCAGAAUUAAUAUUUUAUUAUUCUCCAGCUCCACUGUGCAGCUGCCCUGCCCAAAGCCAUAGCAAAGCAGUCAGCCAGUAACCCCUGGCAGCCCAUUAAGCGUACCUGAACUGCCCAGCCUAGCGCAACGAGGGACUCGUGACACCUCCACUUUCCCUUUCUUAACUGAGGCACAAGCGGACGAAACCCCGUGAGCCUGCAGGGCUAGGAGCACUCCCUCUGAGCAAACAGGCUGUCUUGUAGGGCUUGUCCAGCAGCCUCACGGCAAGUGGGGAAGCUGACCCGCAACGCACAUGAAGGACCAGGGUACACAGAACAACAAGGAGCCGCACACGCCCCACGCGGGGUGUCGGCCCAGCUCAAGGUGCCACAGCAGCUGGCCAGCCACCGAGCACAGCCACACUCUGCCUCCCUGAGAGUCCGCAUGCCUCUCAGAGCCCUGCCUUGAACCAGCACUCCCAAUGAGGCAAAUGGCAAAACUUACAGAAGCACACCGUUUCUACAAAGGUGAGCAAAGUUCUAACUGACAGAACACACAAGGGCCCCCAGCCUGCAGAUGCAAUGCGUGCACCCUGGGCUCCUCAUGUGCCAAGGGGAAACAGCCUUGCCCCACUGGAGAGAAGGUCUUUCUGGGUCCAGAGCAGCUGGCAAGGAGCACUGGCAGGUCUGUGAGCGCUAACGAGGAAACAUACCGCGCUGCGCCGGACACGUGCACAGCAGGCUGCACAACAGCAGCUGAAGUGGGCCCUAGCCAGUUUAGGUGUGUGUGCAUGUGUGUACACAUACAUGUGUAUGUGUGUACAUACACGCACCCGUGCAAACCUCCAUCGAUUAUUAAGAGCAGGUCCCUCCCUCUUUGAGUAGAAUUCGUAGAAGGGCAGUUCAAGACAAACUUCCUAUUUGAAAUUUUCUGUACCUCUGAUCUUUUAAAUAUAAGCAAGCCCUAUUUACAAAACAGCAAAACUCCAAAGAAGAUGUUUUACAGGCCUCCUACCCAAGGUGCGGUCCUCCGUUCAUGAGGUCGAAGACCUGGGCAGGGUUCAAUAGCUGUUUGAAUCUUCUGAGGAACUUCACGCCCUGGUUGUCCCCACUUUUAGAAUUGACGAAGACCAGCAGGGGACUUGUGCAAGACGGGGGACAGGUGGCCUUCCAGAACCCU